GCUGGGGCCUGAGAGAGGAGCGCCUGGUGUGCGGGAGGAAACAUGAGAGCUGCCUUGGGUAGGGGAAAAAGGAGCAAAGAAGAGAAAAAGAAAAUUCAUGGGGUGACUGUAAAGCUUCAUGAAGUCUGA
rnacentral:lncRNA from 12 species